GGGGGGCGAUUGCUUUGCUAAUUGGUAUAGGAGAGAUUUGGGUUUUGACGCUGACGAGGACAGAAAGUUUGGCUAUCCCCGCUUCUUGCCAGCCGAGCGCCACAGGUUACGGGCGGCACGUGCACGUUUGCGCGAUUUUGCAAGCGGCUCUAAAAAUAGCGGUGCGCGAUCGCCCGAGGCCGCGCCCGCAGGAACUAAACGCGCUGCGAAUAAGGUAGGAUUACAAUAAUCCCAGCGCGACGUAUCCUUUUUGCGAGCGCCGAUUGGCAUCGGGGGAUUAUUCGCGAAUAAGAGCCAGUCCCCCCGACAGAUCAAACCGACACUCGGCGAUACCCAUUUUUCGACGUCUCGUACUUGUGCCCACCAUCCCCCCGACCGAAGAAGGACCCGCCGCGAUCUCUUCACUUCCUGCCUCCUGAUUAGCUGGAGGCAAAAGGGACUCGGUGGCUUCUUCAAUAAAAACAGCUCCGAGGAAGCUACAGGCGAACCGGAGAAUCCCUGUCGUCGACUCAGCCUUCGAAAAAGGGUCUGGGUUAUCGAUCGCGCUACAGGUUCUUGUACAUUUAGGGGUGAUUUCCAACCGAGCGACGCGCUGGACGCGCGACGCGGAACGUCGAAUGGAUUUCAUAUCGUGGUGAUAUACGCAUGAACGGAUUCUCGCUCCUCUCUAAUAACUAAAAUAUAACGAAGCUUCCGAACUCGCUUGAAUUUAGGGUCCUCAUUGGUUGGUCGGUAACGAAGAACAAAGGGAGUCGAAAAGGCGCAGUUAACGAGCGUGAAGAGGAAGAGUAAUAAAAUAAAAAUAGAGGGAGAGAGAGAGAGAGAGAGAGAGAACAAGGAUGAGUCGCGAUAGCAGCACGAGUAGACGAUGAGAAUCGGUAGAUUCGAGGCUGGUCGGCCCUGCCUACCCGCUUUGGGCCCACCCACGCCCCAGAGACAAGAUGAAAAGGCUCCUUUUUUCUGGGCCCCGUUCCUUCUCCUGGGAGCCGGGACCCAACUGGUGGCGCCCUACCUGACCCACGCUAGGCGUGGGCCACGACUCUCCUCGAUCUUCUCGUCGUUCGCUUUGUGCUCGGCCACUGACACCAUCAUACUCACGUGACCCAACUUUUGCGUCACUUUUUUCCUUGUCCGCUCGUGCCAUGCUCUUUACGUUCAUGUUCUCUGUCUCUAUUGCUCACUCUCUGUCGACGUCAGUUCUACGCUCUUUCUAAUAGACACACGGCGCGUCCUGUUCUCCGGCGGACUCGGGCCAGGCCUGAAUCUAUCAACGAGGAUGCAACUAGAGCGCGCACCGGUCUUUUCCAACUGUUGCGAAUCCGUGGGGUAAGCUUAGGUUGAUUGGGAUAAUUGGAUUUUUGGGUUCUUGGCGACCUGGCUCAAUUUCGUCCUCCUCUUAAAUACCAGCCGGCACUCUGGUUUCUGUGUCGAAUAAAUGUGAAACUUGUCCUGGAAUUAAUCGAGUUCGGAAAGUCAUCGAUUUCGCAGUCAGAAUCGAGCGACUGCCUAGAUAUUUUCGAGCGUAAGAACCGGAUAUCUUUAUGUAAGCAGGACAAAAACCUCCUGCGCAGGUGAGAGCAGGACGUUCAACUCUGCCUAUUUGGUUGUGUGAAACUGAGAGCACACUACGGCUGCCCACGUGACGGAUAUUCGGACGCGGGUCUACCAUUAGGAGGAUCGUGAACUUCCUAUCGCUGUCGAUGUUCUAGAAGGUUUGAGGGGGGGGGGCUCGGUCGAUUGGCAAAAAUUGAAGGUACUCGUGAAAAAUUUGUAUAACAGGAAAAUAAAAAAGAGUUUACGUACGAGUUCAAACGAAUUGGAUCGUCGGUUGUCACAAAGGCGACACCUGUCGGAAAUUAUUGAUUUGCCUACCGAAGGUAAUCCGAUAGGUAGUAACGACACGUCACGCGCCGGAAAGUGCGUUAAGUCUUUUGAUAAUGGAGCGGAACCAGCCGGAUCCCUUUUACCCUCGAGCCAAAUCAACCCCUCUUGAAUACCUCAUAAGCCCGUGUACGUCCAGUACGCAAAACAACCCUUGCGCAACCUGCCCCGAAGACCAUCCGAUUAACGUUUGACGAGGGUGCGUCCAGGACACACUGUCGCGGCAAAAACGGGCCACCAUUACUGCUUUGAUUGGCGAUGUUCGCAGUUAAAAAAAGAAGCCACGGCCAUUACGCGCACGGCGACCACUACAGAAACAUCAAGCGCCCACGACCUCUUCCCCGCUGGCUGUUAGCUUCCUGAAAGCCAAUGCCACACGACUGUACACGCGCUUCCGUAAGUGUUACAUGCUUGUAAUUACCAGAAGAUGCGCAAGACGGAGUCUCGAGCAAGAGCAUGUUACGGUCUCAACACCGAAUCCAUUCCGUACUUCGUUAACCAAAGACCAGCUCCAUUUUCACGAGUAUCGGAAUCCGCUUAUAAGGGUUCCACCCGGUAUAUAGCGCCAACAAAUAUCCCAAUUAUUGAUACCUUGCAAAGGAGACGCUGCUGUCUCGCGCACGAGAAACGAUACGAAGAAAAUUGUUUCUAUUCGCACACUCAGAGUAACUAUGACAUGCAGUGUCAUCGACUGGCAGAGCGACCAAUCAGAACGAUCGAUGAACACUCGUAAGUAUCGCCAAUCUCCGCAAAUAUCGUCAUCACCGUGUGGACAUAGAGAGGGGGGAGCAACGUUUGGUGGAAAAUUUUUACAAAUAAUUCAAAGCCAGUAAAAUUCACUUUUAAGAGAAAUAGGAGGCCGCCGGCUGGAUUCGAACCUGCGACCUGGCCAAUACGAGACUGGCUCUCUAUCCACUGGGCCACGGUCUACCGGCUGAGUGUAAAUUAAAUAUCGUCAACAUAUACACAUACGGUCCAUCCCGAAAAAAAAUUAUAUAACGAAUUACCCCUGCAACCUAUGUACGAACAAAUAAACGAUACAACCCGGUAUAUAUAACAUGAAAGUGAAAUAUAAAAUGUCAGAAUAGCUUUUGCUUACGGUAAUAUAUCAAAGUCAGGACAAAAAACGGAAAUGCUAUCCAGCAGCAUCGGAGACUCAAAAAGCUUUUUAAUUUUCAACGGCAGAAGUUCAAUUCGAUUUCCCGUCCAAUUUCUUUUUUCCCACCCCUGUUCGCCAAGUAUCCACCCUUUCGUCGCCCUAACAAAGUCAAGAGACUUCGUAAGAGGGGUGACGAAAAUGGGUAACAAUGGGGCGUUCUGGAUGUAGGCGCGAGAGCUAAUAAUUCCUCCUAACCCUAUCGCGCGUUUACGGAAAUGGGGACAUCCCCUAAUUUCUCCUCCCGAAUCCCCUCCAACGCUUUCCGUGUUCCGAAUACACACUUUUCCUCCUGUUUCGUCAUUAAUGCCUCAGGCCCGCCAACUACUAUGGUAUUAAAUCAAAGUUCGCCUCAGGCUUGAUGUGACGUCACAAAGGCCUAACGCUGAUCUGAAUGGGUGCCCCUAGCCCCUCCGGCCACCCUCGCCCAUAUGCGAACAUGCAGAUAGCA